GGGAAAGUGGCUCAGUGGUAGAGCGCUUGCCUAGCAUGCAUGAGGCCCUGGGUUCCAUUCCUCAGCACCA
rnacentral:tRNA from 1 species